rnacentral:rRNA from 1 species
UACGUAGGGUGCGAGCGUUAAUCGGAAUUACUGGGCGUAAGUGUGCGCAGGCGGCCGCGCAAGUCGAGUGUGAAAUCCCCGAGCUUAACUUGGGAAUUGCGCUCGAAACUACGUGGCUGGAGUGUGGCAGAGGAAGGUGGAAUUCCACGUGUAGCGGUGAAAUGCGUAGAGAUGUGGAGGAACACCGAUGGCGAAGGCAGCCCUUCUGGGCCAACACUGACGCUCAUGCACGAAAGCGUGGGGAGCAAACAGG